AUUGAACGCUGGCGGCAGGCCUAACACAUGCAAGUCGAGCGGCAGCGGGUCCUUCGGGAUGCCGGCGAGCGGCGGACGGGUGAGUAAUGCCUAGGAAUCUGCCUGGUAGUGGGGGAUAACGUUCGGAAACGGACGCUAAUACCGCAUACGUCCUACGGGAGAAAGUGGGGGAUCUUCGGACCUCACGCUAUCAGAUGAGCCUAGGUCGGAUUAGCUAGUUGGUGGGGUAAAGGCUCACCAAGGCGACGAUCCGUAACUGGUCUGAGAGGAUGAUCGGUCACACUGGAACUGAGACACGGUCGAGACUCCUACUGGAGGCAGCAGUGGGGAAGAUUGGACAAUGGGCGAAAGCCUGAGCCAGCCAUGCCGCGUGUGUGAAGAAGGUCUUCGGAUUGUAAAGCACUUUAAGUUGGGAGGAAGGGCAGUAAGUUAAUACCUUGCUGUUUUGACGUUACCAACAGAAUAAGCACCGGCUAACUUCGUGCCAGCAGCCGCCGUAA
rnacentral:rRNA from 1 species